GUCCCCGUGGCUUAGUGGUAAAGCGCGUAGCUGUUCAGGCACUGCGAGAUGGUGGUUCGAAUCCGCUCGGGAACA